UCCGCAAUGGUCUAGUGGCUAGGAUUCCUCGCUCUCAAACUGAGAAGCACCGAGGCGGCCGGGGUUCAAUUCCCCGUUGCGGAA